GUAAGUCCAGUUUCAAUAGCAGUGGAAACUUUAAUCUGGUUUCCAAGACCAGCACCAGAAAUUGCAUUUUGAAUGUUUUUCAUGGCAUUGAGCAAGAAAGGUAUUUGCAUUGCCUUGGCUAGAAGCAAUAUUCUGAAGGUCAGGGUUUGGCACACCUAACAUGAGUUCAAUAUUGGAGCCGCUGAGGGCUUGGAGAGUGGACUGGCGAGGAUCGUAGAUUCUCAUUCUUUGGAUAUUCUUCUGCUUGCAUAGAGCCACGACAUCUGCUGGAGAAGAUGCAAAUAUUCCUUCAAGUUCAGUUUCAACAUCUGGGACCAGUGCUUUGGAUGAUAAUGAUGGUGUUGAAGAUUAUUUGAUUUGGUCUACAAUAGGGGAGCAUCAACAAACCUAGCAGGAAUAUUAAUGAACUUUAAUUCUACUUGCAAAAGUCAGCAGAGCCCCGCACAAAGGAAUUUCUACCAUUGGGUU